rnacentral:rRNA from 1 species
GACGAACGCUGGCGGCGUGCUUAACACAUGCAAGUCGAACGAAGUGGCGAACGGGUGAGUAAUGCGUAAUCAACCUGCCCUUCAGAGGGGGACAACAGUUGAAAACGACUGCUAAUACCUCAUACUGAAGGAGGGGAUUGCGUCUGAUUGGCUAGGUGGAGGGGUAACGGCCCACCAAGGCGAUGAUAAGUAGCCGGUCUGAGGGGAUGAACGGGCACAUUGGGACUGAGACACGGCCCAGACUCCUACGGGAGGCAGCAGUGGGGAAUCUUCCGCAAUGGACGAAAGUCUGACGGAGCAACGCCGCGGGAGUGAUGACGGCCUUCGGGUUGGAAAGCUCUGUUAAUCGGGACGCGGUACCGGAAGAGAAAGCCACGGCUAACUACGUGCCAGCAGCCGCGGUAAUAC